rnacentral:rRNA from 1 species
UCAACGCUGGCGGCGUGCCUAACACAUGCAAGUCGAACGCGAAAGUGGAGCAAUCCAUGAGUAGAGUGGCAAACGGGUGAGUAACACGUGGGUGACCUGCCUUCGAGUGGGGGAUAACGUCCCGAAAGGGACGCUAACACCGCAUAAUAUGCUGUCUUUUAAGAGAGAGACAUCAAAGCCGGGGACCGUAAGGCCUGGCGCUUGAAGAGGGGCCCGCGCCUGAUUAGCUAGUUGGUGGGGUAAUGGCUCACCAAGGCAACGAUCAGUAUCCGGCCUGAGAGGGCGGACGGACACACUGGGACUGAGACACGGCCCAGACUCCUACGGGAGGCAGCAGUGGGGAAUUGUUCGCAAUGGGCGCAAGCCUGACGACGCAACGCCGCGUGGAGGAUGAAGAUCUUCGGGUCGUAAACUCCUUUCGAUCGAGACGAAUGGCCCUUGGGAUAAUACCCUGAGGGAGUGACGGUACCGAGAGAAGAAGCCCCGGCUAACUCCGUG